GAUGAACGCUGACAGAAUGCUUAACACAUGCAAGUCUUUGGCGAAGCUGUGCUUGCACCGCCUAGCCAAGGCGGACGGGUGAGUAACGCGUAAGGAACUUGCCCUGCAGUCAGGGAUAACAGACGGAAACGACUGAUAAGACCUGGUAAAGUCAGGCGGACUCAUGUCCAGCCUGAUGAAAAGAGAUGCUGCAGGAGAGCCUUGCGUCCUAUUAGCUUGUUGGUGGGGUAACGGCCCACCAAGGCGAUGAUAGGUAGCCGGCCUGAGAGGGUGGACGGCCACAAGGGGACUGGGAGACGGCCCUUACUCCUACGGGAGGCAGCAGGGGGGAAUAAUGGACAAUGGGGGCAACCCUGAUCCAGGAAUUCUGUGUGCACGAUGAAGGUUUUCGGAUUGUAAAGUGCUUUCAGCAAGGAAGAAAAAAAUGACGGUACCUGCAGAAGAAGCGACGGCUAAAUACGUG
rnacentral:rRNA from 1 species